AGAGGAAAAUAAUUUGUUGGAAUGUGAGAAUGAGUCUAUAUGCAAUUUAAAAUGUCUCUGCUGCAUGUUUGCAAAUAGGACCUUCUUUUAAUUGUUUGUAGGUCAUCUUUCCUUUAACUCAAAUGAAGACCGUCAUGGUGGCCGAAGAAGAAAAUGGACACCAGAGCUCAUUUGGAGAGGAUGAAGAACCUGAAGGUUUGGAAGUGAUACAACGCCUCAGUGAGACAUCUGAAAUGUGUUCCAGAUUCAGGAGCCGGAGUCAGCCGCUGAGCUGACACUGAAAAUAUGAACACAGGGGUGUCCUCGCCUCUUGCCCGAUGACUGCUUGAGUUACACAUCAGCUCACCAAGACCCUGCUGAAGAAAAGAGGUCAAGGACCUGAGUGAGUAACACUAUCUGACAAUAAAUUACACAAAUAGUCUCAGCUAUUUUGGAUUAUUGUAGCCAGAAGUUUGUACGUUGUUUAUAAACCUCACUUUUAUGUCAGGUCCCAUUUCCAUUUAGAAAGAAAGAAAGAAAACGAUCUUUUAUAUAGCGCCUCUCAGGAUAAAAAUCAUGAGGCGCUUCACAAAAACAGAAAAAUGAAGGUAUAAAUCACUGACAUAGAACAGAACACAAAGUAGGAACAAAAUGCAUAAGUUGAAGCCAUGAGGAGCUUGUGUGGUCCCCAUCUUUAAGAAGGGUGACCUGAGGGUGUGUUCCAACUAUAGGGGGAUCACACUCCUCAGCCUCCCUGGGAAGGUCUACUCCAAGGUACUGGAGAGGAGGGUCAGAUCGAUAGUUGAAUCUCAGAUCGAGGAGCAAUGUGAUUUUCGUCCUGACCGUGGAACUGUGGACCAGCUCUAUACCCUUGCAAGGGUGAUGGAGGGGGCAUGGGAGUUUGCCCAACCAAUCCACGUGUUUUGUGGAUUUGGAGAAGGCUUAUGACCGUGUCCCCAGGGGCACCCUGUGGGGGACGCUCCAGGACUAUGGGGUGGGUGGCUUUCUGUUUAGGGCCAUUCAGUCCCUUUACCAGAGGAACGUGAAUUUGG